UUAUGUCACAUCGCUAGUACCUAUGGUAUUUUCAAUAACCAAGAUGAGUUUUUAUCGUUUUAAUUGUCUUUCGAGUAUAAUAUCUUAUAAAAAUUAACACUGUGAUUUGUAACUUUUAUUAUAUGCUUACUUAUAAAGUUACUACCUAUGUUCGGAUAUUCUCAUUCAUCAUCUAUAAACUUUGUUUUGUCGUUAAAAUUCUAUUUUAAUUACAAAGUGCGCCAUUGUAGAGUAAAGGUUUAAUUAGUGUUGAGUGCAGCUCCG